rnacentral:rRNA from 1 species
CCUACGGGAGGCAGCAGUCGGGAAUAUUGCGCAAUGGAGGAAACUCUGACGCAGUGAAGCAGCGUGCAGGAAGAAGGUUCUCGGAUUGGAAAAUGCUUUAGACAGGGAAGAAAAAAGACAGUACCUGUAAAAUAAGCACCGGCUAACUACGUGCCAGCAGCCGCGGUAAUACGUAGGAAGCAAGCGUUAUCCGGAUUUAUUGGGUUUAAAGGGUGCGUAGACGGGAAGUCAAGUUGGUUGUGAAAUUCCUCGGCUUAACUGAAGAACUGCAACUAAAACUAACUGUCUUGAGUGCUGGAGAGGAAAGUGGAAUUCCUAGUGUAGCGGUGAAAUGCGUAGAUAUUAGGAGGAACACCAAUGGCGAAGGCGACUUUCUGGACAGUAACUGACGUUGAGGCACGAAAGUGUGGGGAUCAAACAGGAUUAGAUACCCGAGUAGUC